rnacentral:rRNA from 1 species
UACAGAGGUGGCAAGCGUUGUUCGGAAUUACUGGGCGUAAAGGGCGCGUAGGCGGCCUGCUAAGUCGAACGUGAAAUCCCUGGGCUCAACCCAGGAACUGCGUCCGAUACUGGUUGGCUUGAAUCCGGGAGAGGGAUGUGGAAUUCCAGGUGUAGCGGUGAAAUGCGUAGAUAUCUGGAGGAACACCGGUGGCGAAGGCGACAUCCUGGACCGGUAUUGACGCUGAGGCGCGAAAGCUAGGGGAGCAAACGGGG